UGGGGAAUAUUGGACAAUGGGCGAAAGCCUGAUCCAGCCAUGCCGCGUGAGUGAUGAAGGCCCUAGGGUUGUAAAGCUCUUUUGUGCGGGAAGAUAAUGACGGUACCGCAAGAAUAAGCCCCGGCUAACUUCGUGCCAGCAGCCGCGGUAAUACGAAGGGGGCUAGCGUUGCUCGGAAUCACUGGGCGUAAAGGGUGCGUAGGCGGAUUUUUAAGUCAGGGGUGAAAUCCUGGAGCUCAACUCCAGAACUGCCUUUGAUACUGGGAAUCUUGAGUUCGGGAGAGGUGAGUGGAACUGCGAGUGUAGAGGUGAAAUUCGUAGAUAUUCGCAAGAACACCAGUGGCGAAGGCGGCUCACUGGCCCGAUACUGACGCUGAGGCACGAAAGCGUGGGGAGCAAACAGG
rnacentral:rRNA from 1 species